rnacentral:rRNA from 1 species
AGUGAACGCUGGCGGUAGGCCUAACACAUGCAAGUCGAACGGCAGCACAAGAGAGCUUGCUCUCUGGGUGGCGAGUGGCGGACGGGUGAGGAAUACAUCGGAAUCUACCUUUUCGUGGGGGAUAACGUAGGGAAACUUACGCUAAUACCGCAUACGACCUACGGGUGAAAGUGGGGGACCUUCGGGCCUCACGCGGAUAGAUGAGCCGAUGUCGGAUUAGCUAGUUGGAGGGGUAAUGGCCCACCAAGGCGACGAUCCGUAGCUGGUCUGAGAGGAUGAUCAGCCACACUGGAACUGAGACACGGUCCAGACUCCUACGGGAGGCAGCAGUGGGGAAUAUUGGACAAUGGGCGCAAGCCUGAUCCAGCCAUACCGCGUGGGUGAAGAAGGCCUUCGGGUUGUAAAGCCCUUUUGUUGGGAAAGAAAUCCUGUUGGUUAAUACCUGGCAGGGAUGACGGUACCCAAAGAAUAAGCACCGGCUAACUUCGUGCCAGCAGCCGCCGUAACAC